rnacentral:lncRNA from 1 species
GUAUGGGAUUCAGGGGCGUAGCUACCUAAGGCUCGACUAGGCACGUGCCUAUACAUAAAUUUGCCGAUUAUACCCCUUUUGGAAAAAAAAAAUAAAAAAAAAUAAACAUUUUAAUUCUAAUGCGUAUUAUUGCUAAAUUAGGGAACUUGACUCCAGAAAUAGCAGACAAAAUUUACAACUCUUAUCGUGCGGAUUUAGGUGAAAAAACAGUAUUUGAAGAUGAGAUAGCAUGAUGGAAAGCCCGUUGGAGUAUUGAAGACAACAGACCAGAUAGACUUCUUGGUGUCCUUAACGUAACAAACGCCGAUCUGUACCCUUCAGUGUAUAGGAUUAUUUGGAUUUUAUUGACAAUGCCUGUUUCAUCGGCAGCUAGUGAAAGAUCCCUCAGCGCGAUGAGACGCGUCAAAUCCUACCUGAGAUCGACAAUGGGAGACGAGCGAAUUUCAAAUCUAUCUUUUCUUCAUAUCCACCGACACCUCAAUGUGGAUGUUGAUGCGAGUAUAACUGAUUUUAUCGGCAGAAAAAAACCGUCGACUUGACUUUGAGUAAAUGUAUCAUUGUCUUUGUGUAUGAAACUGUAUCUGAAAGUUAUUCAUAAAAGUUCAAAAAUAUAAAAUUUGUUAAACCAAUUUUUGCCGAAAUUUGAGUUAAAAGAUUCGUUCAAAAAAGUUGAAAAUCUUUUCCUUUGAUCCUCUGUGGGCCUUAAUCUAAAACUAGUCUGAUCUACACUGGGCAUAUUGUUUAUUUUUUUUUUCAGAUUUUUGUUUGUACUACGUUAAUUCAGGUGUUAAUGUAAUAUUAUUCAUAAUUCUUCGAACUUUUUUUCAUGAAUAUUAUCAUGAUAAAAACCAGUAAAUAUGAUAUUUUUGUACACAAAAUUAUGCAACUAAAAUGCUGAAAACCGUUUUCCGUCAGGGGGGCUUUGCCCUGAAUCCCCUACCAUGGCUCCGCCCUGGACCUGCAGGGGGCCUUAUGCGGCCCAGACCCUCUGCCGAUUUGUGCCUACAGUUGAUCUGAAACCUAGCUACGCCCC